CGUUUGGUCCCGCGCAAUGGGAGCCCCCGAACCGUGUCAGGUUGGGAACAAAGCAGCACUAAGGAGGAUUUCCCAUGUGCCGUGGGGGUGCCUGACGUAU
rnacentral:SRP_RNA from 1 species